rnacentral:misc_RNA from 1 species
GGCACCAACUAUACGGUGAUGAAGCGUGCCUUUGACGAGGGCUGGGGUGCUGUAAUUGCCAAAACUGUGUCAUUAGAUGCAGCAAAAGUAAUAAAUGUAACUCCUAGAUAUGCCCGGCUACGAGCAGGUGCAAAUGGCUCAGCCAAGGGGCAGAUAAUUGGGUGGGAGAAUAUAGAACUCAUAAGUGACCGCCCUCUUGAAACUAUGCUGAAAGAAUUUAAGCAAUUAAAAGAAGAAUAUCCAGAUAGGAUUCUCAUUGCUUCUAUUAUGGAGGAGUAUGACAAAGCUGCUUGGGAGGAACUUAUUGAUCAAGUGGAGCAAACUGGAAUUGAUGCCAUUGAAAUCAAUUUCUCAUGCCCUCAUGGUAUGCCUGAACGC